rnacentral:lncRNA from 1 species
GUGGUUUUUAACUGUUGUUUGUUCGGAGUAUACGGAUAAAUAUUAUGUAGACAAAACGGGCGGCGGGUGUUCUAAACUGUUAGUGUGGUAUCCUUGAUGAGUGUUGACUUUUAUUAAAAACACUUGAUAAGCUUGGACAGUUGGCAAGGCGGUUCUCUUCUACAAUGCAUAAUAUGCUAAGCCUUCAAAAAUAUAAUAUAUUCCAGACAUAAAAAUUCAUAAACAUACAUUUGGAUAGUUAAUUUCGUCCUGACAAAAUUUUUAAUUACCAUAUUACAACAGUUAAUCCAUGUUUAAUCUCAUAAAUUCAUUUUAAAUGAGCCAAUAAUUCAAUAUUCAACAUCAAUAUACAGAGGAGAGCACCGGCUAUAUAAUCAGGGAAAGUGUCUCAUGUGUACAAAUCCAGACAAAGUCAAAACGUCAAGGUAGUAAACAAUCAGAAUUUUUUCAUUUUAG